GACUACAGAACAUGCAAGCGAAGCCUCCCUUCGUAGUCUAAUGAGACACGGUCAAAAUAUACGUCACACGCCAAAUGGAACCGCGAAGGGUCGAGGUGAGUUGAGGAUAUUCGGUGACUUUUCGGUGGAAAGGAGGGAGUGUGCUCUGGAUUGACGCGGACAGGUGGAUGGCUACUGUCUCUGACACACAGAGAAGCCUCAGUUCGUUGAGGCAUGGACUCUACAAGGGGUCGAAGCCGUUCCACAGGGAUGCUGGCCCAUGUUGACUCCAAUGCUUCCCACAGUUGUGUCAAGUUGGCUGGAUGUCGUUUGGGUGGUGGACCAUUCUUGAUACACACAAGAAACUGUUGAGACUAAAAACCCAGGAGCACUAGAGUUCUUGACACACUCAAACUGGUGCUCCUGGCACCUACUACCAAACCACGUUCAAAGAGAGUUCUUUCUUCCUGUCUGCUGAUGGACGGAGAACCCCGCUGGCUGAAUGGACAGGGACAAUAUAUCCGGAGAGAGCCAUGAUUCCGUAAAGCAGAGUAUGUUACAGUCCCUGAUGUCUCUCUGGAAGGAGAUCUUCGCCCUGACCUCGUCCACUUUAUUGUCCAUGGACUGAACAUUAGCGAGUAAUAUACUCGAAAGUGGUGGAUGGUAUGCAUCCACCAUUUCCGAGUCUGAGUAGGGGUUGGAUGGAAAAACCUCAUGUUAUGUUCAAUGUUGAAAAGAAUACAGGGGCAGAGGAGGUGCAGUGGACUCUUUAAUAAGGUGUGUGUGUGUGUGCCUAUUUGAGAGAGAGUGUGUGUGACCGGAGUGACUGGAGUGUUAUAAAAUGUGUGUGUGCAGUGGUGUAAAGUACUUUAACGUACUACUUUAGUAGUUUUUUGGUGGUAUUUGUACUUGACUUUUGGUAUCUGUACUACAACUUUUACUUAACUACAUUUCUAAAGAAAAUAAUGUACUUUUUACUCCAUACAUUUUUCCUGACACCCAAAAGUACUCGUUAGAUUUGGAAUGCUUCGCAGGACAGGAAAAUUGUCUACUUCACACACUUAUCAAAAGAACAUCCCUGGUCAUCCCUACUUCCUCUGAUCUUGCGGACUCACUAAACACAUGCUUCAUUUGUAAAUUAUGUCUGAGUGUUGGAGCAUACCCCUGGCUAUCUGUAAAAAAACAAGAAAACGGCGCCAUCUGGUUUGCUUUAUAUAAGGAUUUUUUUAUUAUUACUUUUACUUUUGAUACUUAAGUAUAUUUUAAACCAAAUGCUUUUAGACCUUCACUCAAGUAGUAUUUUACUGGGUGACUUUCACUUUUACUUUAGUCAUUUUCUUUUGUAAUGGGUUGAAGAACAAAGUCACAAAAAAAUGUGCUUAAGUAGUACUUUUUUUCCACAUAUUGUAGCAGUAGUUAGUCCAUCAGUCCAAUAGAUGGUGCUGUUGCACUGUGGUAGUGGGGGAAGUAACAAGUUAUAGCCAAGCGCGCGUAACAUUCCUCAGAAAGUUUGACUUUUGUGUCCGUUUUUCUUUAUCACUACAGCUAUAUUUUUAGUGUCAAACUGAGUAAGUGAAGAAUGUGAUUGAGGGUGAAUGAGAGGGUAUGUUAAUUUUAUGCUUUAUGCUUUGGGGCGGCAGGUAGCCUAGUGGUUAGAGCGUUGGACUUGUAACUGAAAGGUUGCAAGAUUGAAUCCCUGAGCUGACAAGGUACAAAUCUGUCGUUCUGCCCCUGAACAAGGCAGUUAACCCAAUGUUCCUAGGCUGUCAUUGAAAAUAAGAAUAUUUUCUUAACUGACUUGCCUAGUUAAAUAAAGGUCAAAUUGAUUUAAAAAAAAUGCUAGAUGUGGUAAAAAAUCACAUAGACACUUUUGAGUUUUUCUGAGUAAAUGUACAUGAUUUCCUGGAAGUAAUUUCAUAAAGAAUCCAUUUAUUUGAGGUCUCUGAGUUCGUUUGACAUGUUAUUGGUUCUGUGUAAAAUUGUACUCACAAGCUGGUAAAAUGGCACCAUGCAUGGACUUUAGUGCAGGCAGUGUGGGUGCAAGAGAGGGAGGCCAUUUCAUGGAUGCACAACUGUUUUGAAGCUGAAUGUACAUUUUUAUCAAUUUUCUACAUGUAUAGCAAUAUUCAGACACGUCAGUUGUUUAUCUUUAUCUAUAAGUGUUUCUAUUGUGUGAAUAAGGAAAUCUACUGUAGGUAAAGUGCACUUAUAUUGUGUAAGUUAAUAUGUGCACUUGUAUGUGAAUUCAUGUUUUGUUGUCAUUACUUAUCGAUCCAUUGAAAUGAAUUAAUAACUAAAUAUUCUAAAUUAGAUAAUUGAAUAAGAAAAGGCAUAUUAGAAAAUAGAUUGCCAGAACUGUCAAGACGAUAACGUUUUUGUCCGUUUCUCUUUCUCACUAAAGAGGCCACCUUCAGAUUCAGUCUGAGGCUGGUAACAGUAUCUUUACUUUCACUCAAUUAUGACCAUUGCGUACUGUGCCUUUCAGAGAAUAUUUCUCACAGAGAAAGUGAGAGAGAGGGAAUGUUCUUCUCAGCCCCUGGGUCCUCCAUGAUGACUUAUUUACUCAGGAAAAGUUAGCCAAGCACAGAGCAGUCUCAUUCAUUGAUGAAUGUGCUUUGUCAGCCUGUCCCGUAAGCCUGUCUGCAUUGUGAGCGGGCAUCAUCGCUUUGGCCUGCUUUUGCCACAACUGCAUCUUUCCAUAUCAUCCCCAUCUCAUCCUGUACCUGACAAUAACACCCAACCCGAUGCUGCACUCCACUAACCUCUUGCAUGGAGAUCAAUCAUUCAACUUUAUCCCACCUCAUCAAACUAGCUCCCCCGACCUACUGUACACUACACCUGCUCAAAUGCCCUCUUCCUCUGCUUCAAAAGCUGCCAUCCCCUCAAACAGUAACCUUGUUCCCAGGUUAAUUGCGCAUGGGCGCAGGCAGAGGUCUCAUGCCCUUAAGGGACUCAGUGGCCGUGCCCCCUCAGAUUUCUACUGUAAUGUUUUUUUGUUAAGUAUUUCAAAUACAUUACAAUUUUUGUUUCUCUGUGACACUACUUGCCACCUACACAUUUUAUGAAGAUGGCUUUAUCUUGUCCAGAUAGGUUCCCAAUCUCCCAACCUCAUAACUAGCUACCAAGAAGCCAUUUCAGGCUAUCAAUAAAGUUAGAGUAGCUAGCUUGUCUAACUAUCUUAGCUGGCAUUCCUUUUGGCAAGGUUGGUAGACUUUAGAAAAGCAAGCAAUUACUAAACGUACUGAAUAGGACUCACAUUUCUUUAAAUCUUUUACCCAGAUUUUAGCAGAGAUGCAGAGAAACAUAUUUAGUUUCUUUGAAAAAAAUAACCACCAGUCAGGAGGAUACAGACAGCUCAAGAUGUACGCUUAGAUAUGCAGAAAAAUAAACAUAUUUUUGACAUAGAAUUAAGCAUAAUAAUUAUGGCUCUAGAUUCCAGGGAAAAUCUAUUUCAGGUGUUUGAGAACAUUUUUAAUUCUCCAACUUCCACCCUCCAGCCAUCCUCACGUACUUUGUGCCCCUUUAGAUUUUUUGGGGUGCAUGCUGCCCCUGGGUGGCGGUGUCUGAUCGACGAGAUAAGCCUACAUCAUAAAUGUAUCACUAUGGAAGGUAAACAAAAUAAGCUAUUUUCCCCAAUAACUCACUUACCCAGGUUAGGCCUUCUGAUUCAUGUCUUCCUGAACAAAAUCUGCUACAUGGUUGAAAUGUGCAUUGUAUUUAACCUAAUGCCGAUGCUGUCUGAUUAUGAAACGGUGACCUUAUUUAUAAAUCCCUCUAGAUUUAACCUGAAAAUAGACGCGCCGUUACUAGGCCAAUAUUUCAACAGAAUAGGCGAAUAGCCUUCUUCCCAAUUAAUUCAAAUUUAAUAUAUUUAUCGAUAUGCAUUUCAGCAUCUCCCUAGUCUCGUAUAUUGCAGGGGUCAAAGUGAGAUAGCCUGGUAGGUCAGUGCUUGACCUGUCGCCAAGGUUGCUUUUUAAAGAAAUGGUAUCAUUUUUUAAAACUCCACUGCAUCUUACCUGUAUCAGUCAGGUCGAGUCUCUAGGCUUAUUGUGAAAGGGGGGCGAGACAAAUGUUUUGAAUUCAAGUUUGUUCGUUGUGAUUGCAAUUUUACUCAACUAAUUGAAACAGAUUAUCUGUGUGACUUAAAUGCUUUCUAACAAUUUGGAAUGUGCAUAAAUUGCCUCUUGGGACUUGCAUACAAAAGCUUGCUGGGGUUCUAGUUGGUGGCAGUUGCCAGCCUGGCAGUAGGCUAUACUGAGACGAGAGCUUCUUUGAGACAAUUUGUUUAUUAUUGCUGCCGCCCUCUGGUUGAAAUCUCUAUUGCACCUGGACCAUACAUUCUGAUGUUUUGGCAUCAAUCAAUUGAUCCUCGUUUUAGACAUACUUUUUAGACAAUGCUCCAAAUUCACGCAGAAAUCCAAUUCAAAUGUAUAAAUAAACCAUAUACCGAAUUGAAGACCAGAA